AGGAAAGCAGGGGAUCUUCGGACCUUGCACUAUUGGAUGAGCCUAAGUCGGAUUAGCUUGUUGGUGAGGUAAAGGCUCACCAAGGCGACGAUCCGUAGCUGGUCUGAGAGGACGAUCAGCCACACUGGGACUGAGACACGGCCCAGACUCCUACGGGAGGCAGCAGUGGGGAAUAUUGGACAAUGGGGGAAACCCUGAUCCAGCAAUGCCGCGUGUGUGAAGAAGGCCUGCGGGUUGUAAAGCACUUUCAGUAGAGAAGAAAAGCUUAGGGUUAAUAACCCUGAGUCUUGACGUUACCUACAGAAGAAGCUCCGGCUAACUCCGUGCCAGCAGCCGCGGUAAUACGGAGGGAGCGAGCGUUAAUCGGAAUUACUGGGCGUAAAGCGCGCGUAGGCGGCUUUGUAAGUCGGAUGUGAAAGCCCUGGGCUUAACCUGGGAAUUGCAUUCGAUACUGCAGAGCUAGAGUAUGGUAGAGGGAAGUGGAAUUUCCGGUGUAGCGGUGAAAUGCGUAGAUAUCGGAAGGAACACCGGUGGCGAAGGCGACUUCCUGGGCCAAUACUGACGCUGAGGCGCGAAAGCGUGGGUAGCAAACAGGAUUAGAUACCCUGGUAGUCCACGCCGUAAACGAUGAGAACUAGAUGUCGGGGGGAUCUGCCCUUCGGUGUCGCAGCUAACGCGUUAAGUUCUCCGCCUGGGGAGUACGCCGGCAACGGUAAAACUCAA
rnacentral:rRNA from 1 species